rnacentral:rRNA from 1 species
UACGGGGGGGGCGAGCGUUGUUCGGAAUUACUGGGCGUAAAGGGCGCGUAGGCGGUGCGCUAAGUCGGAUGUGAAAACUCUGGGCUCAACCCAGAGCCUGCAUCCGAAACUGGCGUGCUAGAGUUCUGGAGGGGAUAGCGGAAUUCCUGGUGUAGCGGUGAAAUGCGUAGAUAUCAGGAGGAACACCGGUGGCGAAGGCGGCUAUCUGGACAGAAACUGACGCUGAGGCGCGAAAGCUAGGGGAGCAAACGGG